GCCUGCUUCGGCUGGAGAGCCGAAGCCCGGCGGAGCCAAUCACGGACGUCGUCUGUUUGCAGCUCCUCUCGGAAAAAGCCGAGGGACCUGAGGCACCAAUUAGAAUGUGUCGCUGGAAAUCCACGCCCGAAGAACGAAAAAUGCCGAGGACACCCGAAUCAAAGGAAGGUGGGUUCGCCGUGUUCUUUGGCUGGCUAGAGGAGAAAUUCGACAAUGGCAAUAGUGGCCAAUCAGAGUCGCCGGCCCUCAUGAAAACGCUUGAACAGUUGACGGCGAAACCCAGACUCGCUGGUGAAACAGCACGCCUGGGCUCCGUGUCCGCUUUGCAAUUGGCCCAAAACUCCGCUGGGAGUGUACCUCCCUCGGUGAUUGGUGAGCGGAAGGGGGCUUCCGAGGACAUCUGGCCAGUCAGAAUGUCUCCUCCCUCGCCGAGGUGGGGAGAAGAAGAAAGCAAAGGGAGGGCUUCUAUAAAGCGCCUUCUCAUUGGCCUGAAGCUUUGGAGCUGGAGUUAGGGUAAAAGGGGAAGGGAGGGAGGCCGAAAGCCUUAGCGGUAGCCAAUCGGCACUGACUGCCGUCCAAUCGCAAGACCUAGCUGCAGUGUGAUUGGCCUUCGGCCUCCGGCGGCGGUCCCAGGAGCCGGGAGAAGCUCGCCUGGGGUCGUGGCGGCUGCUCCCAGACCAUGUGGAAACCGCAAAGAGGGAACGCGGGCUCUCCACACAGCCGGUCCGAAACUGCUGCGGUUGGCGGGGCUGGGCUCGGAGCGCUCAGGCGAGCAGAAGGUGUAGGGGCUCUCCCCACCCACUAGAGGCUCUAAGCGGGACGCGGCUAAUCCUGCGCGCCCGAGACUCCCCUCUGUCCGGCGUAGUGCGUCCCGAGUACCAGCGUCUUCCUAGCCAGGGCCAGACGGAUCCAGGGUGCCUCCCCUGCUGUCUGCGAAUUCUCAGACAAAGCUUUCAGAGAGGCAGCGCCCCUGGGCUGCUGCGCCCCGCCCAGCCGCGGGGACCAUUGAUUAGAGUGAGGCCGACUGCGCCGGGUGCGCGCGCCUGGCCGGCCUUCUGGAAACGCCCCUGAGAAAUGAGCUCAUGCUGGAUGCGCGCGCUCCUUGGGCGCGUCUGCCCAGCGUAAAACGGGCCCCGAAAUCAGGAAACACGACACAAUUUUGCUGUAUUAGAGAUUCCAGAAAACACAGAAGCAUUUUGAUUUCCUUGAAGGCCACAAUGGAGAUCAUGAAAAUUUCCAAUAGAAGGUGGUGGUGACCUGACUUAAUGGGGCUGGCUCAAUGAUAAGUACCAGAAGUGUUCGAAGACAACAGAAACCUCAGCAGCAGACAUCCAUGUGACUACAGGAAGCCGCAGGUAGCAGAAAUGAAAAUGCUUCAAGAUACAGGAACAGAUACAUUCCAGAGAGAAAAUAGGACAAACAACUAAUUAAAUGCUGAACACUGGAAGAAAGAUCAACACAACAGCCCAAGAAACCAAAGUGGUGAAGUGAAUGAGGCCCACAAAAGAUUAGUAGUGAGUAUCAAACUUAGAUCUGGAUUGACAUUCCAGAUGAUUUAACAAUAACAGUGAGGUAGAUUGGGAUUCCGUUUGUACCUAAUUGCUAAUAUUUUAUUAUAUAAGAAUUAAUACAUGCAAAGGUGUAUAAUAAAAAGUUAAUCUACCUUUUUACCUAAUCACUGUAACUUUAAUAAACCAAGUCCAGAGACAA